GCAGAGUAGGCGCACGUGUGUUUGCGGUUUUGUCGGAGCCUUCCGGCCGGCCGCGCCAGUACCAGUGAGACGGGGAGUUGCUCACCGGGCGAAUGGGUCCCCCACCCGACAGUGCGUGUGCCGCAUCCCGCUGC
rnacentral:ncRNA from 1 species